rnacentral:rRNA from 1 species
UACGUAGGGUGCAAGCGUUAAUCGGAAUUACUGGGCGUAAAGCGUGCGCAGGCGGUUAUGUAAGACAGGCGUGAAAUCCCCGGGCUUAACCUGGGAAUUGCGCUUGUGACUGCAUAGCUAGAGUAUGUCAGAGGGGGGUAGAAUUCCACGUGUAGCAGUGAAAUGCGUAGAGAUGUGGAGGAAUACCAAUGGCGAAGGCAGCCCCCUGGGACAAUACUGACGCUCAUGCACGAAAGCGUGGGGAGCAAACAGG